UGGUGGGCCUUCUGGUGGGCCUGGUGGUGGGCCUUCUGGUGGGCCUUCUGGUGGGCCUUCUGGUGGGCCUGGUGGUGGGCCUUCUGGUGGGCCCGGUGGUGGGCCUUCUGGUGGGCCUGGUGGUGGGCUUUCUGGUGGGCCUGGUGGUGGGCCUGGUGGUGGGCCUUCUGGUGGGCCUUCUGGUGGGCCUUCUGGUGGGCGAGGAGGCAGCGGUGUUGGGGAGAAGUCAACGUGGUUGGAAAGAGGUCAACGUGGUUGGCAAGAGGUCAACGCGGUUGGCAAGAGGUCGUCAAUGUGGUUGGCAAGAAGUCAACGUGGUUGGCGUUGGACCAUUGUGGUUGGCAAGAGGUCAUCGUGGUUGGUGUUGGGUCAUCAUGGUCAUCACCAUGGUUGGCAUGGGGUCAUCAUCGUUGGUGUUGGGUCAUCGUGGUUGGCAAGAGGUCAUCGUGGUGAUCACCAUGGUCAUCACCAUGGUUGGCAAGAGGUCAACGAUGUUGGUGAGAAGUCAACGCGGUUGGCAAGAGGUCAUCAUGGUUGGUGUGAGGUCAUCGUGGUCAUCACCAUGGUCAUCACCAUGGUUGGCAAGAGGUCAUCCUAAUUGGUGUUGGGUCAUCGUGGUUGGUGUGAGGUCAUCGUGGUGGUCACCGUGGUCAUCACCGUGGUUGGUGAGAGGUCAACAAGGUUGGCUUGAGGUCAUCGUGGUUGGUGUGACGUCAUCGUGGUGCUCACCGUGACGACCCCAAAGGCAGCGCUGACACCACCAAGGCGGCCAUGACACCUCAAUGGCAGCCAUGACACCUCGAUGGCGGCCAUGACCCCCUGGCAGCCAUGACACCACAACGAUGCCCCCGGCAGCCAUGACACCUCAACGGCGACCAUGACACCACAACAAUGCCCCCAGCAGCCAUGACACCCUGGUGGCCAUGACACCCUGACGGCAGCCAUGACACCUCGAUGGCGGCCAUGACCCCCUGGCAGCCAUGACACCACAACGAUGACCCCGGCAGCCAUGACACCUCAACGGUGACCAUGACACCACAACAAUGACCCCAGCAGCCAUGACACCCUGGUGGCCAUGACACCCUGACGGCAGCCAUGACACCUCGAUGGCGGCCAUGACACCCCGAUGGCAGCCAUGACACCCUGGCGGCCAUGACACCUCGAUGGCAGCCAUGAUACCUCGACGGCAGCCAUGACACCUCGGCGGCCAUGACACCACAGCAAUGACCCCGGCGGCCAUGACACCUUGGUGGCAGCCAUGACACCUCAACGAUGACCCCAGUAGCCAUGACACCAUCCCGGCAGCCAUGACACCUUGACGGCGGCCAUGACACCCCGACGGCGGCCAUGACACCCUGGUGGCCAUGACACCUCGAUGGUGGCCAUGACACCCUGGCGGCCAUGACACCACAGCGUUGACCACGGCGGCCAUGACACCUCAACAGCGGCCAUGACACCCCGGCAGCCAUGAUACCUCAACGGCAGCCAUGACACCUCGGCGGCCAUGACACCACAGCGAUGACCCCAGUGGCCAUGACACCACCAAGGCAGCCAUGACACCUCCACAGCGGCCAUGACACCCCGGCAGCCAUGAUACCUCAACGGCAGCCAUGACACCUCGGCGGCCAUGACACCACAGCGAUGACCACGGCAGCCAUGACACCUCAAUGGCAGCCAUGACACCCUGGCGGCCAUGACACCCCAAUGAUGACCCCGGCGGCCAUGACACCCCACUGGCGACCACGCCCGCCCCCCCACGGCCCCCCCUUUUCCCCGGAGAAGGCUUUUUUUUUUUUUUGCCGUUCGUUGGCUGUUUCUUGUAGAAACCCCGGGCGCGUCCGGCUGUACAU
rnacentral:lncRNA from 1 species